rnacentral:miRNA from 1 species
UGCACACAGGUCUGGGGA